ensembl:lncRNA
UUUAUAUAUAUAUAUCUCUUAUAUUGGCAAAAAAAAGGGAUACGGAAACUUUGUGACCCUCAUGUUGGCUAGCAGGCUAGUUAGUAUAGUUAAGCUAACAGGAGACAGAGACAUGCCCGUACAUGUUCUCCGUGUAAUUGGUUGUAGUCUGCGUUUUAUUUUAUACAGAAAAAUGUAGGUGGACGUCAACUGGGUCGACUCUUUGUUUAUUCUCUCCCAUUCAACCCUAAACCGAAAAGGGCACCUCUCUCCCCUCUCUCUCCCAUGAAGACGCAUUGCGGGAAAGGGGCACAUGUUGAAACAAAAUACGAAAAAAUCACUCAAAUCCCCCUUAGUGUCAGAAUCCUUGACGGCUCAACACUCCAGCCAACUCGACAAACGUUUGUGAGGGUGGCGAAUGAGCUAUUCCAAGACGGGACAUUUAACUGGGGCAGAGUGGUCGCGCUGUUCUACGUGGCUGUUCGACUUGUGAUCAAGGCAAGGAUGCUCACUAACUAACAAACUAUAUUUAAAAUAUACAAUUUAUAUAUUUUUGUUUUAUUUUUCUUUUUUACACGCGAGUGUGUGCGCGCGCCAGAGUCGGAUGGAACAAGGAGGACAAUCCCACUUUUGUACCAUAUUCUCUCUCUCUUUCUCUCUCUCUCUCUCAGAGUUCUUGACAGCUCAACACUGCAGCCAACUAGAGAAACGUUUGUGAAGGUGGUGAAUGAGCUUUUCAGGGAUGGGACAUUUUCCUGGGGUAGAGUGGUGUUGCUGUUCUACCUAGCUGGUCGACUUGUGAUCAAGGAUCUUCACCUGGAUAUCACUCACAAACUUAGAUUCCUCUAUGUUCCGCAACCUGACCCUGAGCUUGGCUGUGGCUUCAGGACAGACGUCCAAGAGCAACUUGCUUUUACAAACAUUACGUUGUGUUACACUAGAUUAAAGUUUACAUUUUGGCAAACUGAACCCUUCCUUUUAAUCACACACACACAGAGUAAGCAAA